GGUUAAAAGUGUUGGGGCUAAAGUCAAGGUGGUGAAGGACCUCCUUGGCAGAACGAAGUCACAGCACCCUUGGGAGGGCAAUGGCAUGUGGUGAGGAGCUGUGGACAGGACCAGGAGGAGAGGCCAGGGCUGGAGCAAGUCUGUAUCCUGCUGCAGCCCCGUUGCCCCCAUGCUGUGGCCUGUUGCAUCCUGGAGAAAGCAGAGUGGUGCUUGUGCUGCUUCAAGAAUGAGAAUCAUGAAGCCUGGAUUAUUCAAACAAAUUCUGGGGCAGUCUUCUGACUUCAAAUGUUUCCUGGAAUGCUUUUGUGAAAAAUGAGCAGCCAAGCAGUUCUCAUCCAGUUUGUGUGUCUGAUUCUUUGUGAACAAGAGAAUCCCAGGUUCACAGCAAGCCCCAGAGUAUCCUGCAAAGCCAUCUGAGUCAAGUUACAUUUUGCACUCUGCUCAUCCCCUUGAUUAAAAAACACACACAAAAAAAACAAGGUAUCAAUCAGUGAAACAACAAUACUGUCCAGCUUUCCAUGACAGAUAAUGCCUGGUUAGCCCAACUGUGGUUUCACCUCUUGAAAGUACUCUGUGUCUGCCCACAAGUGCUGUUACCUUUGCUGGGAGCAGCUGGGUGCUGGUUUGGCACCGCUCUGCAUGCUGCAGUCACUGCAUCUGAACAGAAAACUCCAAAUUGGUACCUCUUGUUUCACAGCUUGGAUAAUCAUAUUUCACUAAACUGGUACGCAAGGAGGCUUCAGCCCAUCUGACAGCUUUAUUCUUGUGAGGAGAGCAAAGCAGGAUGCUUGCUCUGACGUGCCCGUGCUUGGGUCUGUGCAUGAAUUGCUCAGUGCACAGUGGCUGCACUGGGGUGGGGUGUGCAAGCAGAGAGCUGCGUGAGCACAGACGUUGCACGAGGUGUGGCAAACUCCUUUGCACAGACCAAGCGGGCAGUGGCUUUGAGGAGCUGCAGCUUCCUCGGUCUGGCAGAACUCCUCCAUUAGAUGCUUCUCAGCUCUGUGGAGAUUUGCUUCUGCUGGAUCCUGUAGUCUGAAUCACUUGUUUUCCCUGACUGUACGGCCUGUUCAUCAGUUGGAGCAAUGUUUCCAGAGCAUUGUCAUAAGCCAGGCUCGCACGUGUCUUCAGACUAGGCUGUGGAGGAGCCCCCCUUCUGCCCGGAUUUCUGCUGUUGGGUGCCGUGUGACCUUACAGCGGUGCCAUUCCCUCACCGGGUGGUGGCAUGCAGCGGUGACAUUCCCUAACUGCCCGCAGUGGAUCUAGCACACAAGUCCAAGAGCCCACGAGUCCAAGAGAGUUCACAGAGCGCUUCUCCACCCUGCUUUGUUGCUGGUUCCUGAGCCGAUAUCGCUGUGCCACGUACUGCUCUUUGUAUGUGCAAGCUCUCCUAAGUUCCACAUAGAUAUGGCGCUCUUCGCUUCCUGAAGCCGUCACGUAGCGAUGCAAUCGGAUCACCUUCUGGGCUCCACUCACUUGGUGCCUGCAUUUCAGAAGCGGGUCAAUACAGCCCGGAUGCAAUGCCAGGUCUAAGAUCGUCAGAAAAGAACUGAAGAUGAGGACCGUGCAGGCCUGCAGAGGACUCAGGUGCCCUCCGUGCCCCCCUCCUCCAUCCCCAGAUGUGUCCUGGAUACCUGGACUCCACAGUUUCCCUGCCCUGAUAAGGCAUCAAAAGGAACCAGAACUCCUUAUCGUUAGGUCCCCAGUACAUACUAUUCACCAGAUAACUUCUCCCAUCCCAACCAUCUCUGAUGGUUUCCUACCCUGCCAGAAGUCAAUCAAUCUGUCCUUGAACAUGGAGCUGUGAAAUGAAGAUGCGAUACUAUACUGCAUGCAAAAAAAAUAUAUCCUCUGAUGUUGAGCAUGGCAUAUCCCAUGUCUGCAAGUAAGUCUGCAUACCUGAAGAUUUGCUACUUAUGUGACUCCUGCAAGAAACAGGAAAGAAUAAGACUUAAAAUUAUGCCUCUGAUGGGAAAGGCUGCAGCACUCCCCAGAAGGGUUGAUCCAUCACACCAAGUGCCGCUGUCUGCCUGUCAAGUAUUAGGCUCCUUGGGCAGAGCGUGAUUUGGCAUUCAGUGUUACAACAGUCAUUAUUCCAAAGAAGCCCACAAUUUGGGACCGAACAAGUGAUGGUAAUGGUUACCGAAUGAAAGUCACAAAAGCACGCUCCACAGCUGAGCUUGCAUUUAAAAAAGCAGCUUUAUAAAAGGU